AUACGUAGGGGGCAAGCGUUAUCCGGAUUUACUGGGUGUGAAGGGAGCGUAGACGGAAGGCCAAGUCUGAUGUGAAAGCCCGCGGCUCAACUGCGGGACUGCAUUGGAAACUGGUCAUCUGGAGUGCAGGAGGGGUAAGCGGAAUUCCUAGUGUAGCGGUGAAAUGCGUAGAUAUUAGGAGGAACACCGGUGGCGAAGGCGACUUUCUGGACGACAACUGACGCUGAGACGCGAAAGCGGGGGGAGCAAACAGGAUUAGAUCCCCUGGUACUCCACGCCGUAAACGAUGAAUACUAGGUGUAGGGGGUAUCGACUCCCCCUGUGCCGCAGCUAACGCAUUAAGUAUUCCACCUGAGUAGUACGGCCGCAAGUCUGAAACUCAAAUGAAGUGACGGGG
rnacentral:rRNA from 1 species